GAUAGGAGACAAAUAGAAGAUAACAGCCAAACACAGUCUCCUUGACCCCCAAAACACACACACACACACACACCAUCAAAUCCACACAUGGAAAGAAACACACACCCAGCCUCAUUUAGAUAGAUAUGGUUCUUCAUGGAAACACACACACACACACACACACACACACACACACACACAC